AUGGAUUCGGUCUUCUUCCUAGCGGGAUUUCAGAUUGAAGGUACUUUGGUAGCUCCUCCAAAGAGAUCAUACUGGAUAGAGGAUACCAUUAGGCACUGGAUUUUGUUCAGAUCUGUGAGAGGUCUUACUGUCACCGAUGGUGGGACCAUUGAUGGCAAUGGAAAGAUUUGGUGGCAGAACUCCUGCAAAGUAAACACAAAACUCCCUUGCAGGCAAGCUCCAACGGCUUUGACGUUCUAUUCUUGUACAAAUCUGAAAGUGAAUAAUUUAGAAGUGUUGAACAGCCAACAAAUCCACAUAUCAAUGGAGCGUUGCAGCAAUGUAAGGAUGUCACGCCUAUCAAUCAGAGCACCUGGCACUAGCCCCAACACCGACGACAUCCAUAUCACCCAUAGUAAGGAUGUGAAAGUUAUGGACUGUGCAAUCAAGACUGGGGACGACUGCAUGUCAAUCGAGGAUGGGACUGAGAAUCUACAUGUCAAGAACAUUGUGUGUGGACCAGGGCAUGGGAUAAGCAUUGGGAGCUUAGGUGAUCGCAACUCUCAAGCUCAAGUUGCAAACAUCACCAUUGACGGGGUGCGACUGCACGACACGACGAAUGGAGCUCGUAUCAAGAUAUGGCAGGGCGGGCGGGGUUAUGCAAAGAAUAUCGUGUUCAAGAACAUGAUAAUGGAUAAUGUACGGGACCCGAUCAUUAUCGACCAGAACUACUGCGACUCGGCUACACCAUGUACUAAACAGAAAGCGGCUGUGGAGGUGAGCAAUGUGUUGUUUAAGAACAUUAGGGGGACAAGGGCCUCAAGAGAGGCUAUCAAGCUCAGUUGCAGUAAAGCUGUACCUUGCCAUGGGAUAGCCUUGCACAACGUCAGGCUUACUCUAAAACGAGGGGGUGGUGAUGCAAAGAGCACCUGUCAGAAUGCAAAAAGGAGGAAACUGGGAACAGUUAUGCCACAGCCAUGUAGUCUCAACGAUUGA
rnacentral:rRNA from 1 species